rnacentral:lncRNA from 1 species
CACAGGGACACAGAUGAGAUUGACUCCUGUCUCUUUAGGGGUUGAAUCUCAAUGCAAAGCUUUUAUUUUCUCAAAAACCCAUUGUCAUAGUAUUGGCCUCCAGCACAUAGGGCAGUGAGCCCCUUUAGGUUGAUACCACUGUUCCCUCCUAUGGGCGAUGUCAUUUAUCUUCAUUGGGCUCUACUAUCUUCAGAGGUUCUUCUUUUGUGGAAUUGCUUUCUGAUUUUUCAAAGUUCCAUGGCAUCAGUUUCUUCUAGUGGUUAAGAGUGGCCAGCAAGUCACCUUCUCAUGAAGGCUGUUUGUACACCCUCCUGGGGGCCAGAGCAAACUCUGCCAAGACACCAGCCAUGUUUUUGAGGCUUCUCUCCCAAGCAGACUCUGCAACCUCUCUGCAAGAAUGUGCAGACUAUAGCAUGUUUGUGGCAGCCUCACAUACUGAUCCUAGAGCACUUAUAUCUUCCUCAGUGUCAACUUCAAAACAACCUUUCUGUGAAGCUUUGUUAGAUCUAAUAGGAUGCAUGUCUCAUCGACAAAGUGAUUCAGAAAAUGCAAGCAGUCAUCUUCAUCACAGUCCUAUGGACUUCCAGGCUGAGGUGACACGCAGGGCAGGACUGACAGGUAGGCCAAAGUUCUGGGUAGAGAAGGUGGCACCAGGCAAAAGGUUUGGAAAUUGAGUGGAGGGCCUAGGACCAUUGCAGCCAGGAACUGAGAAAGCUGGGGUUGGGACUCGGGGAGAGGGAAGAUGUAGGCCAUAGACUGUAGUCUGACCGUGAGACUCAGGGGAGGAUGCGGUUGAGAGCAUGGAGAGGGUGUCCUUGGGAGAGGACCUAGGAAAUAAGCCUCCAUGAAAGGGCCCUGGAGCAGGAGCUGAAGCCUAAUUGACAUAUCAUCACCCCAUCCCUUCAUGCCCAGCCUCUCUCUGCUGGGAUCACUCCCUGGCAACCAGCUUUUUAUCAAUCCCCUCUACCUGGCUGGCAAAUCCUGAGCUUCACUCCAGGUGGUCACAAUCUGACCCUUGUGACCUCAUGCUUCCCCACCCCCAUUUGUGAAGUUCCAUCACAGGAAGUUCUUCUCCAGUGGCCCCUGAUCCAGGGAGACCCACCCUGCAACAGCCCUUGUCUCCCUCCGCCCUUGGUUCCUUCUCACCCAUCUCACCACCAUCUGCCCAGGGGAGCCACAUGUCCCAAAUUUUGGAGAGAAAAUAAUUGAGGCUCAUUUCCAGGACAGAGGGGCAAGCUGGGUCUAAAGAGCCAAGCAGAAAGGCUUCCCAAAAUCGCUAGGUUGGGAGGGGUCAGAGACGUGUGGCUGCCCCAGCUGUUCUGACUCUGCCCCAGCUUUUGGCUCCACCCCCUUAAAGCACCUUCAGAGGUUCCCAUGGCGACAGUAAACAAGUCUCCACUGCCUUGGCCAUGUGCUGUGUUCACCCCACUCCUGAUCUUGUUGGCUGCUCAGGGGCUGACAGCCCAGAUGUGCAGCUGUGAUGAGCAGAAACAGGGAGGAAUGGAGCCCCCAGCCAUUGUCAUCACUUCCCUGAUCUGCCUAAAUUCUGCCCAGCAGUCCGUGAAAAUGGUUUGCUGAUGACAUAUGUAAGGACUUUAACUCCCCUCAAGCAAUCUGCUCAUCUCAAAGGGGCACAAAAGCUCUAGAAAUACAAAGCUGCAGAGGAUGGACGUGUUCUGCCUUUCAUUUCUCAAGACAGAUUUGCAAUGAUCAAGAGGCGUCCUGUGAAUGCAGUUUGCAAAGGACUUAGGCACACAGCAUCUCCUUUGUUCUCACCACAAGGCUGCCGGGUGUGCAGAUGUGAGGAUUAUUUCAAUGGUGAAGAAGCAUCCUGAGAGGUUACGUAGUUCAACUAAUGUCACACCAAGAGGAGAGCAUCUGGGCAUUUGGACAUGGAAGGUGUGGGGCACAAGCAUCUCAUGGCCAGGGAACGGGGGAGGAGCAUCUCAGAGCUGCAUCAGAGUUCAUGCUGGUCCUAGGACAAGAGUCAAGCACACCCUGCUUUCACCAGCUGCUGGUAGCUUUCACUCAGGCCACCUCUCUUUGCCAGUCUUGACAAAUAAUUUCUUAGUGAAGCACCUAUUUCAGGCUGAGCCACAAGAUGUCAGCCUAAGCUUAGUCAUUUUGAAUUUUCCUGGCCCUUGAAACAACUACAUUUUUUCACUUUUAUGACCAAGAAAAAGUCUGAGAAGCUCACGACCCCUCAGGAUUAGGUACAGAGACCACAGCAGCUGCUUGCCCUGGGAGCUCUUCAUGCCUG